rnacentral:rRNA from 1 species
CUACGGGGGGCUCCAGUGGGGAAUAUUGCACAAUGGGCGCAAGCCUGAUGCAGCCAUGCCGCGUGUAUGAAGAAGGCCUUCGGGUUGUAAAGUACUUUCAGCGGGGAGGAAGGGAGUAAAGUUAAUACCUUUGCUCAUUGACGUUACCCGCAGAAGAAGCACCGGCUAAGUCCGUGCCAGCAGCCGCGGUAAUACGGGGGGUGCAAGCGUUAAUCGGAAUUACUGGGCGUAAAGCGCACGCAGGCGGUUUGUUAAGUCAGAUGUGAAAUCCCCGGGCUCAACCUGGGAACUGCAUCUGGAUACUGGCAAGCUUGAGUCUCGUAGAGGGGGGUAGAAUUCCAGGUGUAGCGGUGAAAUGCGUAGAGAUCUGGAGGAAUACCGGUGGCGAAGGCGGCCCCCUGGACGAAGACUGACGCUCAGGUGCGAAAGCGUGGGGAGCAAACAGGAUUAGAUACCCGCGUAGUC